AAUGUUUUUCUCUUAAAAUUCAAACUUUUUUCUUAAAAAUCUGACUUUUCUCCAAAAAUAAGAUCCUCUGGAAUUUUCCAAUUUAUUUAUUUCAUCAGAAUUUGACCUUAAUAUCAGAAAUUUCACUUUUUCUUGAAAGCUUUUAAUUUCAGGACACACUCUGAAGUGUGACCUUCAGGACAGCCGUGCAGAGUAAACAAAACACAAACAGACGAAAACCCACAACCAUCACCACACUCAAUAAACAAAUACACACAAGAGGGAUGCUGAAAUGGAAAAUAUGCAAUAGGUGGACUAGUAUUUAUUUGUUGCUUUAUUCAUUUCUAUAAAACAGCAAAAACAAAAAAUCUCAAACAGAUUCUAGAAAGAUGGAAACAUAUUUGCUGCCACCUUUAAACACUUGGAAGAAAGCAAAGAAAAGAAAAAAAGGAGUUAAAACAAUAAUUAGUUAAUUAAAAAUAAUAUAUAUCUGCAAUCUAGCAUCUAGGUAUAGUUGUGGUUUCAAACAAAUCAUUUAGUUUAAAAUAACACAAUCACUGCCAAGUUUGUAUCUUAUUUCUAAAUUUGAAUUGCUUUUUUUAAGGUGAUUUGGUUUCUUUAAUUGUUUUAUAAUAGAUUGUUCCAUAUUAAUAACUUUUAACACUUAAUUUACUGAAAAAUCAACUUGAUGUAAUUCACUGUGUAAUUACUAGCAGAUAAGAUUCUUAUUGCCCUUUUUAAUAGAAUAAAAAUUUAACUUAAGUAAGUUUUACUUUUUUUUCCACAAAUUUUGAACUUUUUUUGUCUUGCAUUUUUUAAAAGUUCUGACAUUAAUUUCAGAACUCCUUAGAAUUAUGUUUUUAAUUAACUUUCCAGCUUUUAUCACCAAUUUUAAAUGAAAAUCUCAAAAUACCACCUUAAAAAAUAUAAAAAGUAUUGGUCGAACAUGUUUUUUUUAUUCCUAUUGACUAAUGAUAUGCUAUCCGGUGUUACUUUACCUUUUAUAAAAUGCACCAAAGAGGUUUUUCUUGAUGAUCCAGCAUGAAUACUUUGGAUGAAAUGAACAGACGCCCACAGAACAACACUCACUGCUGGUUCACCCUAUAAUGGUAACACUUACACAACAUCGUUGAGCUCCAGCCUGGUGUCAGGAGACGGGUUAAUGAGCACAUAAGACAGAGUGUUCUGGUGGUCGUUCUGCUCAUCUGAAACAGAAAGGGAGUUAACAUAAACAUGAGAAACAAUCAGAUCUGGGGUCCAAAUGUCUUUACCUUGCAGGUAUCCCAGGUUGACUCUGUUCAUCACAUCACUGGCGGUCAGAUUUGACAGGUCUUCUGCAGUCAGAGAGGAAAAAUCAAACAUCAAAGAACAAAAAAAGAAAAAAAAA